GACAGAGGGGGCAAGCGUUGCUCGGAAUCACUGGGCGUAAAGGGCGCGUAGGCGGUAUGACAAGUCACUUGUGAAAUCUCCGGGCUUAACUCGGAACGGCCAAGUGAAACUGUCAAACUAGAGUGCAGAAGGGGCAAUCGGAAUUCUUGGUGUAGCGGUGAAAUGCGUAGAUAUCAAGAGGAACACCUGAGGUGAAGACGGGUUGCUGGGCUGACACUGACGCUGAGGCGCGAAAGCCAGGGGAGCAAACGGG
rnacentral:rRNA from 1 species